UAAAAGUUUUAUUUUAGCUUAAAAAUUAAGUUUAAUUAUGAUUUAUAUGUAAAUAUGUGUGUGAGGAAAUUAAGUUUUAAAUGAAUUUAAUUUUUAUUAUAAGCUCAGUAAAUAAAUUUAAAUAAUUAAGGAAAUUUAGAUUUAGUAAUAAUUAAGAAUAUUAACAAAUAUUGUGCCAGCAGUUGCGGUUAUACAAGUGAUGUAAUUUAAUUUUUUUAGUAAGAAUUAAUUUUAAAAUUAAGUUAAUUUUAUAGUUAAAUUUGUUAGGUGAAAUUUUAAAUUUAAUUAAAAAUUUAUUGUAAUUUAAUGAAGUUAAGAAAUUUAAAUUAUAAACUAGGAUUAGAUACCCUAUUAUUUUAAACGUAAAUUUAUUUCUAGAUUAGUAUUAGUUAUGUUCUUGAAAAUUAAAGAUUUUGGCGGUAUUUUAGUCUAUUCAGAGGAACCUGUUCUGUAAUCGAUAAUCCACGAUUAAAUUUACUUAUUUUUAUAGUUUGUAUAUCGUUGUAGUUUGAAUAUUUUAUAAGAAUAUAAUAUUCAAGAUUUUUUUAAAAAAGAAUAUCAAAUCAAGGUGCAGUUUAUGAAUAAGAAGUAAUGGGUUACAAUAAAUUGAUUUAAAUGGAUUUUAAAUUUAAAAAUUUUAUGAAGGUGGAUUUGAGAGUAAUUUUAUUUAUUUAAUUAAAAUGAUUUUAGCUCUAAAAUAUGUACAUAUUGCCCGUCGCUUUCAUUAUAAAGUGAAAUAAGUCGUAACAAAGUAGGUUUACUGGAAGGUGAGGCUAGAAAGAAA
rnacentral:ncRNA from 1 species